AGAAAGGAGGAGGAAGAGGAAUGGGAAGGGAGGGGAGAGAAAAGGACAGGAGAGGAUGGAAGAUUUCCUGGGCAAAGAAAAGUGGUCAAUCAGCUUUUCAUGAUCACCACUAAGGACUCAGUUAUAGAGUGGGAGGAUUCCAAAGUUUCUAAAAAGAGGAACUCACCACAGUAGACCAAGAUUUGUCACUCUCUCAACCUGGAGGUAUCUGUCUUUUCUGCAGCAUCACAUGGAAUUUGUUCGGGGCUGGAUCGGAAGAGGAGACAAGCUGACUUGGACUAUAGAACAGCAAGCAACCUCUUACAAGAAGGAAAAUGUCUUUCAAAGCCAAACAGCAGGCACAAUGCAAAGCACUGAAUCCCUGAUCAAGAGGUCAAAUUGGAUUAAGACUCAAGUUGGCCACAGACACAAGCCUGUGGGACAGCCUGGCCUUCAGACCCAGGAGAGACAUCUGCUGGUGGGACUCAGUGACAGGCCUGAGUUCCCUGAAGGAAUGGAGAGAGAGAGAGAGAGAUUGAUUUGCCCAGCAGGGAAUGUAGAUGGCCAUGCCAUGCUGAGUCAACCAACAGAGCCCUGCCCUAGCAAGCUCAGCCCUUGGGUCUAGGCUGCCCCAAGGUGAGCCUUUCACCUCCAAGGAAAGCUUCUAUCACCCUGAUGCUCUUGAGCUUGAGAAACCUAUAUUCCAACGGGACACAGAAAGAAGAUUUCACCUGUGUCAGUAAGGAACCAGAUCUUCCUGGAAGAUCAAUGCUCUCUUUCCCUCCUGGAUUUUCAUCCAUCAGCUCAGAACAGCUCUAAAGAAAGAGAAUGGGAGUUCCCGUGUGGCUCAGUGGUUAACGAACCUGACUAGCAACCAUGAGGACGCAGGUUCAAUCCCUGGCCUCGCUAAGUGGGUUAAGGAUCCAGCAUUGCCAUGAGCUGUGGUGUAGGUCGGAGAUAAGGCUCGGAUCCCUCAUUGCUGUGGCUGUGACACAGGCUGGUGGCUACAGCUCUGAUUUGAACCCUAGCCUGGGAACUUCCAUAUGCCACAGGUGUGGUCCUAAAAAAGUCAAAAGACAAAAAAGAAAAGAAAAGAAAGAAAGAAUGAAAUUGAUUGCAGACUUCCAUUUCCUAAAGUUAAUCGUACUAUUACCUGUGGUGGCUACAUAUCAGCUCUAAGCAAUAUGCCCUUUAAGGCUGUUUUCCAUUCACUUGUGAUCUGCUGCUUAUCCGUUCUGGAUACCCCUUUCACUUUCUGGGCAUUUUCACAUGAAACUUAUUAUAAGAGAGAGUUCCAGGAGUUCCCUGGUGGCUCAGCAGUUUAAGGAUCCAGCGUUGUCACUGCUAUGGCAUGGAUUUGAUCCUUGGCCUGGGAACUUCCACAUAUUCCUGGAGCAGGACCCCAAAAGAGAGAGAACAGGCUCGUGGUUGCCUAGGGGAAGGGGGAGAGAGAGGGAGUAGAAUGGACUGGGAGCUUGGGGUUAAUAAAUGCAAACUCUUGCAUUUGGAGUGCAUAAGCAAUGAGAUCCUGCCGUAUGGCACAGGGAACUAUAUCUAGUAUGGUGUGAUGGAGCAUGGGGGAGGAUAAUGUGGGAAAAAGAAUGUGUGUGUGUGUGUGUGUGUGUGUCACUGGGUCUCUUUGCUGUACAGCAGAAAAUUGACAGAACACUGUAAACCAACUAUGAUGGAAAACACAAAAAUCAUUUUUAAAAAAGAGAGAGAGACUUCCAUUUCUUUCCUUGCUCCUGUCAGAAACAGAAGUAGGAGAAAUGCUUUGUACUGAAAUGUUCAUUUCUAUACUUCACAAACCUGAGAUUCUAUAUGACAGUUAUUGCCCUCAAAACAUGCCCUCCCCCAAAGUAACUGCAGCUCUAUAAACUGCAUUCAAAUUGGGAACUUUGGGUUCUCAUUGUAUCAUUACAUGCACCGGAUAAUAAAUUCUACAUGUUUGAAUA
rnacentral:lncRNA from 1 species